GGAGCCCGUGUGUCGGGGGAGGGGGACCCCUGCAUCUAUUCCCUUGAGCGCACCCAUACGCAGCCCUCACCAGCACCCAGGGAAGCCGUGCCCCAGCGGCUCACAGCCCAGGCAGAGCCCAGUUGCUCAAGGCCUAGGGUAGCCCCACGGCAGCGCGGAGCAUCAUUCCCCCACCCACCUCUCAGCAGAGGGUGAGCGACAGAGGGACCCGGGCCGGGGGCUCCUCCCAGGACAGCACAGAGCCGUGCCGUGGCUGAGCCCCCUUCCCAUAACAGGGGAGCCCCAGCUCUUUUCUGGGGUCAGUCCCCGGCUGGCUGGGGCUGAUGGGCUCACUGGACUCGCCCCACACUGCCGGGAUGGGCAGCAGCCUGCAGCCGGAGAGGCUCCUGGGUCGCCGACGCGGGGCCGAAUCCUGAAGGCCCCGCCUCACUCCUGCAAGGGACGGUGUGACGAAGUGGGCCUGUUCUUAAUGUUUCCUCCGAAUAUUGUGGGGGUGCCUCAGUUUCCCCUAUGCAGUUCUUAAGUAUCUAGGUGGUGGGGUAAGGGUGUAUGAUCAUUGCAGAGCCCUAGAGGGCAGGUGUGUGCAGGGGUCUGGACACAGAGAAUGGCCAACACCCUGUUUCCUGGCAACUGAUGGCCUGGGCCCUUCCCCCCCUGCAAGGUGAGAGCUGAAGGGUUGGAGAACAAAGGAAUCAGGUGACCACCUGGCCCGGGAAAGGAACAAAGCCCAGAGGAGGAGGGGCUGGAGGGGGUUUUCAG